UACGUAGGCAGCAAGCGUUGUUCGGAGUUACUGGGCGUAAAGGGUGCGUAGGCGGCUUUUUAAGUUUGGUGUGAAAUCUCCUGCUUAACCGGGAGGUGCGCCGAAUACUGAGAAGCUAGAGUACGGGAGAGGAAAGUGGAAUUCCUGGUGUAGCGGUGAAAUGCGCAGAGAUCGGGAGGAACACCCGUAGCGAAGGCGGCACUCUGGGCCGGUACUGACGCUGAGGAGCGAAAGCGUGGGGAGCAAACAGG
rnacentral:rRNA from 1 species